UACAGAGGGGGCGAGCGUUGUUCGGAAUUACUGGGCGUAAAGCGUGCGCAGGCGGUGAUGUAAGACAGGUGUGAAAUCCCCGGGCUUAACCUGGGAACUGCAUUUGUGACUGCAUCGCUGGAGUGCGGCAGAGGGGGAUGGAAUUCCGCGUGUAGCAGUGAAAUGCGUAGAUAUCGGGAAGAACACCCGUGGCGAAGGCGGCUCUCUGGGACGGUACUGACGCUGAGACGCGAAAGCGUGGGGAGCGAACAGG
rnacentral:rRNA from 1 species